ACUGCAGACUGGACAACCCGACUUGCUGCUGCUCACAACCGUAAUGCCGCAUGUCCCAAAGGUACCUUCAUCCACAACCCGAACCAGCCCUGCAGUAUAUGUCUUUGUGGCGGCAACGAUCCAGGGUCCCACAAUAUGUGCUUCACAGAUGCCGAGUGUGUCAAACAAAUCAUCAGCCACUUGAACGGCUAAACUGUGGUUUCUUUGUGAAUAUCAACGUCAAUAAAUCUUAUGAAACUGGU